GACGAACGCUGGCGGCGUGCCUAAUACAUGCCAGUCGAACGAGAGCGACCGGUGCUUGCACUGGUCAAUCUAGUGGCGAACGGGUGAGUAACACGUGGGUAACCUGCCCAUCAGAGGGGGAUAACAUCCGGAAACGGAUGCUAAAACCGCAUAGGUCUUCGAGCCGCAUGGCUUGAAGAGGAAAAGAGGCGCAAGCUUCUGCUGAUGGAUGGACCCGCGGUGCAUUAGCUAGUUGGUGAGGUAACGGCUCACCAAGGCCGUGAUGCAUAGCCGACCUGAGAGGGGGAUCGGCCACAUUGGGACUGAGACACGGCCCAAACUCCUACGGGAGGCAGCAGUAGGGAAUCUUCCGCAAUGGACGCAAGUCUGACGGAGCAACGCCGCGUGAGUGAAGAAGGUUUUCGGAUCGUAAAACUCUGUUGUUAGAGAAGAACAAGUGCUAGAGUAACUGUUAGCGCCUUGACGGUAUCUAACCAGAAAGCCACGGCUAACUACGUG
rnacentral:rRNA from 1 species